rnacentral:rRNA from 1 species
UACGUAGGGUGCGAGCGUUAAUCGGAAUUACUGGGCGUAAAGUGUGCGCAGGCGGCCGCGCAAGUCGAGUGUGAAAAGCCCCGAGCUUUAACUUGGGAAUUGCGCUCGAAACUACGUGGCUGGAGUGUGGCAGAGGAAGGUGGAAUUCCACGUGUAGCGGUGAAAUGCGUAGAGAUGUGGAGGAACACCAAUGGCGAAGGCAGCCUUCUGGGCCAACACUGACGCUCGAUGCACGAAAGCGUCGGGGAGCAAACAGG